rnacentral:rRNA from 1 species
GAACGAAGCACUUUAUUUGAUUUCCUUCGGGACUGAUUAUUUUGUGACUGAGUGGCGGACGGGUGAGUAACGCGUGGGUAACCUGCCUUGUACAGGGGGAUAACAGUUGGAAACGGCUGCUAAUACCGCAUAAGCGCACAGCAUCGCAUGAUACAGUGUGAAAAACUCCGGUGGUAUAAGAUGGACCCGCGUUGGAUUAGCUAGUUGGUGAGGUAACGGCCCACCAAGGCGACGAUCCAUAGCCGACCUGAGAGGGUGACCGGCCACAUUGGGACUGAGACACGGCCCAAACUCCUACGGGAGGCAGCAGUGGGGAAUAUUGCACAAUGGGCGAAAGCCUGAUGCAGCGACGCCGCGUGAGCGAAGAAGUAUUUCGGUAUGUAAAGCUCUAUCAGCAGGGAAGAUAAUGACGGUACCUGACUAAGAAGCACCGGCUAAAUACGUGCCAGCAGCCGCGGUAAUACGUAUGGUGCAAGCGUUAUCCGGAUUUACUGGGUGUAAAGGGAGCGCAGGCGGUGCGGCAAGUCUGAUGUGAAAGCCCGGGGCUCAACCCCGGUACUGCAUUGGAAACUGUCGUACUAGAGUGUCGGAGGGGUAAGCGGAAUUCCUAGUGUAGCGGUGAAAUGCGUAGAUAUUAGGAGGAACACCAGUGGCGAAGGCGGCUUACUGGACGAUAACUG